rnacentral:rRNA from 1 species
CCUACGGGAGGCAGCAGUGGGGAAUAUUGGGCAAUGGAGGAAACCCUGACCCAGCAAUGCCGCGUGAAUGAAGAAGGUCUUCGGAUUGUAAAGUUCUUUAGUCAGGGAAGAAUAAAAUGACGGUACCUGAAGAAUAAGCUCCGGCUAACUCCGUGCCAGCAGCCGCGGUAAUACGGAGGAUGCGCGCGUUAUCCGGAUUUAUUGGGUGUAAAGGGGGCGCAGGCGGAGGUGCAAGUCAGCGGUCAAUUUGCGGGGCUCAACCCCGUACUGCCGUUGAAACUGCAUCCCUUGAGUGCGCGAGAAGUAUGCGGAAUGCGUGGUGUAGCGGUGAAAUGCAUAGAUAUCACGCAGAACUCCGAUUGCGAAGGCAGCAUACCGGCGCGCAACUGACGCUCAUGCACGAAAGCGUGGGUAUCGAACAGGAUUAGAUACCCUUGUAGUC